rnacentral:sRNA from 2 species
GAGAACCGUUACUUGAGAGGUUGAAUCUGGCAGGUUUAGAUGAAAUCCUUUUGGCGUAGAUAUAGUCUUGUUAAACCGCAGCGCCUGCGGGUUCGUUACGCUCACACAGCUCCUAACAGGAGCGGUGCAACUUAGCGAUCGACCAUACCCAUGCCACAAAUGAUAGAGAACGGCGGUAAUAGGAGCGGGGAGGCCAGCGGAAAGUGACUUGAGCUGAGGAUAACAACCAGGCCGGGAACAGAUGACGUGAGCAC